UUUUUGCUUGCCAUAACUUUUCUGUAUAAUUCUUUUUUUUUUCUUUUGGGAGCCACAAAAAAUCUCCCUCGGCCUCUAAAAAGAGGAAAUAAAAGGGUGUUCCAAAAAAAACAGGCAAGUCUCCUUAACUCGCUAAACAUAUCACGAUCUGUUAAUAUUUUGUUUUGUUUUCUUAUUACCUAGAUCGACAAAAAAGGUGAUUUUGUUUUCUUAUUAUCUUGAAGACUAAUGAAGACUAAUGCAUAUCUUGAAGAAGGAAAGAAUAGUUCAGUUUUUGGCAAAAUGUUCACUUCAGCUUGAGAUGUUAAGAUUUGCGAAUUCUUUUCUCAAGAUGAAGGAACAAAGCAAAAAGGAGGCUAAUUUUUCCAUUUAGCCUUAAUGAUCUGAUUGAUAUUUAG